AAAGAAACGAGUGCACGUUUUGAUUUGCUGUUACGUGGGGAAAUUCCUAUGUAUAUAUUUUUUUAUUUUAUAAAUUUACCAAAAAAGGGGCAGCAUCCAAUCGAUUAAAAGUCCAGUUCCAGUCUCCCGAACACCAAAAAACACGUCCACCUUCACUAACUUUUCU